GCGCGAGUGGCGGAAUUGGUAGACGCGCUAGCUUCAGGAGCUAGUGAGUGCAAACUCGUGGAGGUUCAAGUCCUCUCUCGCGCACCA
rnacentral:tRNA from 1 species